rnacentral:sRNA from 1 species
GUGAAUACAACGCACACAAUGGACCUUCCACGCCAGCGAAAGAGGGAGACACAGAUAGGCCGCACCGGGCCUCCGACGGGAAGCUCCGAGGCCGGUCUAAGAGGAGCAGUGACCCGUCCCCGGCAGGGGACAAUGAGAUUGAGGAAAAGCAACUUAAGGAUGUAUUCAAGCAAAACAAGGAAGAAAACCAAGGAAGAGAGACUUGGGAUCCAGAAAACAGUGGAUCCAACCCAGAAAUACAGUGAAGGGAAGUCUGCAGCAAGCCUAAAAAUGAUCCAGUCCACAUUGGAGGUUUCUAUCACUGAGGAUAGAUAUCUCCAAUAUGGAGUGUGUGGCUGAAUUUGACAUUUUAAUGAAGGUACAUUGUUGCAAACAAGAAAAAAUUAAUAAAUUCUGACAAAACCAAAAAA